GACGAACGCUGGCGGCGUGCUUAACACAUGCAAGUCGAACGGAAAGGCCCUGCUUUUGUGGGGUGCUCGAGUGGCGAACGGGUGAGUAACACGUGAGUAACCUGCCCUUGACUUUGGGAUAACUUCAGGAAACUGGGGCUAAUACCGGAUAGGAUCUCCUGCUGCACGGUGGGGGUUGGAAAGUUUCGGCGGUUGGGGAUGGACUCGCGGGUUCUCAGCUUGUUGGUGGGGUAGUGGCUUACCAAGGCUUUGACGGGUAGCCGGCCUGGGCGGGUGGCCGGGGGCAGGGGGACUGAGGGAGGGCGCAGAGUGGUACGGGAGGCAGCAGGGGGGAGUAUUGCGGAGUGGGGGGAAGCGUGAGGCGGCGAGGCGGGGUGCGGGAUGACGGGGUUCGGGGUGUAAACCGAUUUGGCAUGUGACGAAGAGGGAGUGAGGGUAAUGGGUAAAGAAGCACCGGCUAACUACGUG
rnacentral:rRNA from 1 species